GACGAACCGUGCGAACGUUGUUCGGAAUCACUGGGCUUAAAGGGCGCGUAGGCGGGCGGCCAAGUCCGGGGUGAAAGCCCCCAGCUCAACUGGGGAAGUGCCUUGGAAACUGGUCGUCUUGAGGGAGGUAGGGGCAUGUGGAACUUCGGGUGGAGCGGUGAAAUGCGUUGAUAUCCGAAGGAACGCCGGUGGCGAAAGCGACGUGCUGGAUCUCUUCUGACGCUGAGGCGUGAAAGCCAGGGUAGCGAACGGG
rnacentral:rRNA from 1 species